rnacentral:rRNA from 1 species
UGGAAACUGUCUGACUNGAGUGCAGAAGGGGAGAGUGGAAUNCCAUGUGUAGCGGUGAAAUGCGUAGAUAUAUGGAGGAACACCAGUGGCGAAAGCGGCUCUCUGGUCUGUCACUGACGCUGAGGCUCGAAAGCGUGGGUAGCGAACAGGAUUAGAUACCCUGGUAGUNCACGCCGUAAACGAUGAGUGCUAGGUGUUAGGCCCUUUCCGGGGCUUAGUGCCGGAGCUAACGCAAUAAGCACUCCGCCUGGGGAGUACGACCGCAAGGUUGAAACUCAAAGGAAUUGACGGGGGCCCGCACAAGCGGUGGAGCAUGUGGUUUAAUUCGAAGCAACGCGAAGAACCUUACCAGGUCUUGACAUCCCGAUGCUAUUCUUAGAGAUAGGAAGUUACUUCGGUACAUCGGAGACAGGUGGUGCAUGGUUGUCGUCAGCUCGUGUCGUGAGAUGUUGGGUUAAGUCCCGCAACGAGCGCAACCCUUAUUGUUAGUUGCCAUCAUUAAGUUGGGCACUCUAGCGAGACUGCCGGUAAUAAACCGGAGGAAGGUGGGGAUGACGUCAAAUCAUCAUGCCCCUUAUGACCUGGGCUACACACGUGCUACAAUGGUCGGUACAACGAGUUGCGAGCCGGUGACGGCAAGCUAAUCUCUGAAAGCCGAUCUCAGUUCGGAUUGGAGGCUGCAACUCGCCUCCAUGAAGUCGGAAUCGCUAGUAAUCGCGGAUCAGCACGCCGCGGUGAAUACGUUCCCGGGCCUUGUACACACCGCCCGUCACACCACGAGAGUUUGUAACACCCGAAGUCGGUGAGGUAACCUUUUAGGGG